rnacentral:tRNA from 1 species
ACCUCCGUAGCUCAAUGGCAGAGCAGGCGCCUCUUAAGCGUCGAGGUGCAGGUUCAAAUCCUGCCGGGGGUA